GACGAACGCUGGCGGCGUGCUUAACACAUGCAAGUCGAACGGAAAGGCCCUGCUUUUGUGGGGUGCUCGAGUGGCGAACGGGUGAGUAACCCGUGAGUAACCUGCCCUUGACUUUGGGAUAACUUCAGGAAACUGGGGCUCAUACCGGAUAGGAGCUCCUGCUGCAUGGUGGGGGUUGGAUAGUUUAGGCGGUUGGGGAUGGACUCGCGGCUUAUCAGCUUGUUGGUGGGGUCGUGGCUUACCAAGGCUUUGACGGGUCGCCGGCCUGGGAGGGUGACCGGCCACACUAGAAUGGAGAUGAGGCACAGACCCCUACGAGAGGGAGCAGUGGGGAAGAGUGCACAAGGGGCGGGGGGCUGGUGCAGCAAAGCCACGUGAGGGAUGACGGGAUUCGGGUUGUAAUGCACUUUCGCCUAUGACGAAGCGUGAGUGACGGUAAUGGGUAAAUAAGCACCGGCUAACUACGUG
rnacentral:rRNA from 1 species